rnacentral:rRNA from 1 species
CCUACGGGUGGCAGCAGUGAGGAAUAUUGGUCAAUGGACGCAAGUCUGAACCAGCCAUGCCGCGUGCAGGAAGACGGCUCUAUGAGUUGUAAACUGCUUUUGUACGAGGGUAAACGCAGAUACGCGUAUCUGUCUGAAAGUAGCGUACGAAAAAGGAACGGCUAAAUCCGUGCCAGCAGCCGAGGUAAUACGGAGGAUUCAAGCGUUAUACGGAUUUAUUGGGGUUUAAGGGUGCGUAGGCGGUCGGAUAAGGUAGAGGUGAAAUCCCGAGGCUCAACUUCGGAAUUGCCUCUUAUACUGUUCGUCUACAGCGUGGUUGCGGUAUGCGGAAUGUAUGGUGUAGCGGU